UGUCUUUUCCCCGGCAUUGAUUUUAUGGCUGCGACGUAACAUAAUGUGAGGACUACUUAUUGAUUUACACAAUAUAGAUUUACCAUUGAAAGCACUAUCCUUUAGGGCUACAUAAUAAUAAUGAAUGUGCUAUAGACUCAUGCAGGUGUUUGCAUGGUCCUCAAAGUUACCUCCCUCCACAGAUGGAGAAUAUGACGGUGCCGUUGCUGAGAGUGAGGAAAGUGGUGAAUGGCAGACCAGCCAAGAUAAUCAAACUACACAACCACACUUUGAGGGCUCUGAUCCUUGUGUGCUGAGUGUAGACUGGAGGAAGAGCAUUGGUGAGCUCAAGGAAGCCAUUGCUGAGCAAAAAACUGAGUGUAGACCGGAGGAAGAGCAUUGGUGAGCCCAAGGAAGCCAUUGCUGAGGGCUCUGAUCCUUGUAUGCUGAGUGUAGACCAGAGGAAGAGCAUUGGUGAGCUCAAGGAAGCCAUUGCUAAGAUAAGUACACCAGAACUAUCGUGUGUGUGUUCUUUGCAUGGCUACAUGAAUAAUAAUAGUUAUAUUUAGCAAGCUAUAUUAUAGCUUGCUAAAAUUACCAUAGGACAUCGAUGUUUCUCUGUACUCAUACUUUGUGACAUACAUUGUACCGUAUACUGGGUAUGACAUAUUGUAUUUGGCAAAUCAGGCAAAGGAUGGCCAAGUUGAACUAGUAAUGCGUGAUUAGUAAUGUCGUCAUGCAGCAUGAUCAUCAAAUUAAUACUUCAAUUGCCCCAUAAUUAUAUAAACGUAAUACUUGCCAAAUACACCCCUGAUACGGUUGAUUUAUUCUCGAUCUGCGGCUCGUUUACAUGAUGUUGUGUAUGUACUAGACUGUACAUUCACUGUUAGUAUUAUGGAUUUGGUAUAAGGAUAAUUUAUAUCACGUUGUCAAGGUAACAACGGUGUAAUAUAUUAUUUUUAUUACACGGUCGCGUAACCUUGAGGCAUGAUUUGGUAAGGGGUCGUCCUGCAUUUUCAAAGUUUCAAAGCUUCUGCCCUUGUUUACAUAUCAUCAUUACUGGUGUGGAAUGGUUUGGACUGUCUUUUAUGAGUUCGUACUAUACCCAGUGAUACGUAACAAACUUCCCAGCAUUAUUAGAAGAAUUGGAAUAAUUUUUCUCCUUAUCACGGUUUUCAGUAUUGUGUUUCUAAUUCUGGAACUACUAAAAAGCAAAUACGGUGAUUUAGUCAAAAUCUUACAAUCGUCUUUAAUUCAACUUUUAGAGGAUUGCUACAAUCUUGCUUUUUAGCGCCAUGAUAGAAUUAGUUUGUGCUCAAGCUCUAUACAACAUGAGAGGAUUGUUUGGAGGGUGUAUGGUGUUGGUGUUGUUAUCAUCUUUUACUAUUGUCACAAUUUCUCCAUUGAACAUUACCCUAACAAUGUGUGCAUGGGGUUGUAGUAGGCAUCAGUCUGCUUGGAUUCAUCCUGUACUGCCCCUGGCUCGCUGGUACAAGAGGAGAGUUAGAGACGAGGACUACAAUGCACACAGAGUGGUGGAGGAGGUCUAUGAUCGAUACUUGUCAGCUCAGCAUUAAUUAUUCCAUUAUACGAUUUUUUUUAGAUUUAUUAUCUGUGUUUUUGUCGAUCUUGCAUGUUCAGAACAUUAAUAUUUUCUGUGUUGGUUCAAUAGCUGUUAUGUCAACAGUGCUUGCACACCUAGUGUUUAUACACGAGUUUGUCAAUGCACAUCUUAUAAAGUUUGAUUCCCUUUGGGCAACUACUCUACUAAGCUCAGUAUUGACUUCCGAUAACGUAUAUGUAGUUUUAGACGUAACUAUAAUAACAUUUAAUCAACGUAACAAUAAUUGUUAAUUCAAUGUUUGCAAAUUACCCUAUAUGCCAUCAUCACUCUUUUGUUUGACAAGGGGAUGUUUUGUACCAGAUGUACCAAAUCAAUGAAUUUUUUCAUUCACUAUUGCAGUAUAAUUAUAAUUAUGAAAGCAGUUUGUCAAUGAACACUAUUGUUUGAGCUUGGCAUGUACGAAACUCACUCACAGUUAUACAUAUGCAUGACUGUUUAGUUAAUCACUAUAAAUUGAUUUAAAAAUACUGAAACUAAACUCUUAACAGUUCAUAACCAUUUGGGAGACAGUUAAACUUUCGUAUACAAUUGUCAAUUAAUAUUGCAUUUUCUUUUAUGGCUAUUAUUAACCCUACAAACGUUAAAUGAAUACAGUUUUCUUAUAUCUUCUUUGGACUGUGUUCUUGUCAUAGCAUUGUCGUCUGUAUAGUUUCGUUUCAUUGCUCUCUGUUAGUUGCUGUGGCUAGGUUUCCAUUCAUAAUUAUUAUAGUCAGGCUUUCAUUUUCGCAACACUCUGGUUGUGAGACAUAAAAACUCCGAGGGAUAUAUGCAUGAUGUAACUAUUAUUGACGGUACAUUCAUUGUUUUAACAACGGGAACUUUUACAAUAUGUACAUACUGUAUUAUUUGCAUAUGCAUAUAUUCCUCAUCUUUGCUAUGCAAACAGUUUGGAUUGUUUGAUGCUUUUUGAGCUUGUAUACAUGGAAUUUACGAAAACUGAAACUCCACUCUCAUUUGUAUGACUCAUGACUAUUAUUUUAGGGAAAGUAGUUGUUGCUGAUUAUGUGAACCAGCAUAUUUUAGUACCAGCUUGUAUCUGUGCAAGAAUUAAUAAGAAAUACUGUAGGCAAUAAUAUUGCUCUUAGGUAUAGUACCUAUAGUUACAGUAUAGUGUUAGCAAUCAUCCCUACAUGUGUGUCUAUGUGUGUCUGUGUCCGUUAUGAGACAAACUAACUCUGCAAACGGAGACAGUCCUCUGGUAUCAAGGAAUGGCUGCAAGUGCAAAUACAGACUGAGAUGGUUCUAUUCCAAGGGAGCCUUUCUUGUUCUGGUCUGGGUUAUGCUGAUGACUAUAUCCUGUGUAUCAAUGUCUCAUGUGUUUAAUGAGUUCCAUCAACAUGUAAAUUUUGUAAUUUUGAAAUGGCUACUUGCUAUCCCAAUUGUAUUUGGUUUGUUUGGAGCUGUUUUCUCAGGAUGGCUAGCCGACGCUAAGCUGGGGAACUACAGAGUGAUGAAAUACAGUUUUGUGCUAUUAUUCUUCCUUUGUUUGUUGUCUAGUACCUUCACCUUAGUUCCUGACAUUGCACAGUACGUGUAUGUUGUGAGUUUUUUGGUGUGCAUAGGUGGGAGUCUCUUUAUAAUAGCUGUGGUAGCAUGCGUUGUUACCUCACUACAAUUAGGCCUGGAUCAGAUGCCUGAUGCUUCAUCUUCCAAUAUCACUAGUUUUAUUGCCUGGUUUUUAUUCAGUAUCUAUGCUGGUGUUUGGAUCCCUGAUGCUUUCGAUUGGCCCAUUACCAUGUUUAGUAGUCGAUUACCACACUGGGUUACCCAACUUUACAGUUUGCUGCCACCUUUGUGUAUGAGUGUUGUUCUUAUUCUUGACUUUCUUCUAGCUAAGAAAUGGCUGAUAAUUGAGCCAAAGUCACCUCAGUCCCUCAAAACCAUAUACCGUGUUCUCAAGUUUGCAGCUAAGCACACAGCUCCCCUCAAUCGCAGUGCUCUCACAUACUGGGAGGAAGAUGUCCCUUCAAGAAUGGACCUGGGAAAGUCGAGAUACGGUGGACCAUUCACUACAGAGCAAGUUGAAGAUGUGAAGACCAUCCUACGUUUGUUACCCCUCUGCCUAGCGCUAUGGCUUCUUGGGUGCUCACAUGAAAUAUUCCAUCCACGAUCUUAUGGUAAUGUUUAUCCUCCUGAUUGGAAUUGUUAUGUUUCAAAGUUUUUGUCCUUGUUCACAUAUCACCAUUACUGGUGUGGAAUGGUUUGGACUGUCUUUUAUGAGUUUUUGCUAUACUCAGUGAUACGUAACAGGCUUCCCAGCAUCCUUAGAAGAAUUGGGAUAAUUUCUCUCUUUAUCACGGCUCUCAGUAUUGUGUUUCUAAUUCUGGAACUAUUACAAAAUAAUGAGGGUGAUUUAGUUGCAAUCAAGUAUGUUACAAUCGUUUUAAAUUCAAUUUCUCAGGGUUUGCUCACAAUGUUGCUUGCUAGUACCAUGAUGGAGUUAGUUUGUGCUCAAGCUCCAUACAACAUGAGAGGAUUGUUUGGAGGGUGUAUGGUGUUGGUGGUGUUAUCAGCUCUUCUUAUUGGCAGUUAUAUUCCUUCACAUAACGCUAACACAUUAACAAUAUUAUAUGGGGUUAGAGUAGGCAUCAGUCUGCUUGGAUUCAUCUUGUACUGCCUCCUGGCUCGCUGGUACAAGAGGAGAGUUAGAGACGAGUACUACAAUGUACACGGAGUGGUGGAGGAAGUCUAUGAUCGAUACUUGUCAGCUCAGCAUUGAUUGACUACAUUUAUUCCGUUAUACGAUUUUUUGCGAUAUCAUUGUUAUUAUCUUUAUUUUUGUUGAUCUUGCAUGUUCAGAACACUGUGUAUUGGUUAUAGACGUAACAAUAACUGUUAUUUCAACAGUCCUUACACACCUAUAGUAUUUAUACAUUCA